UGAGGAAUAUUGGUCAAUGGACGAGAGUCUGAACCAGCCAAGUAGCGUGAAGGAUGACUGCCCUAUGGGUUGUAAACUUCUUUUAUACGGGAAUAAAGUGAGGCACGUGUGCCUUUUUGUAUGUACCGUAUGAAUAAGGAUCGGCUAACUCCGUGCCAGCAGCCGCGGUAAUACGGAGGAUCCGAGCGUUAUCCGGAUUUAUUGGGUUUAAAGGGAGCGUAGGCGGACGCUUAAGUCAGUUGUGAAAGUUUGCGGCUCAACCGUAAAAUUGCAGUUGAUACUGGGUGUCUUGAGUACAGUAGAGGCAGGCGGAAUUCGUGGUGUAGCGGUGAAAUGCUUAGAUAUCACGAAGAACUCCGAUUGCGAAGGCAGCUUGCUGGACUGUAACUGACGCUGAUGCUCGAAAGUGUGGGUAUCAAACAGGAUUAGAUACCCUGGUAGUCCACACAGUAAACGAUGAAUACUCGCUGUUUGCGAUAUACAGUAAGCGGCCAAGCGAAAGCGUUAAGUAUUCCACCUGGGGAGUACGCCGGCAACGGUGAAACUCAAAGGAAUUGACGGGGGCCCGCACAAGCGGAGGAACAUGUGGUUUAAUUCGAUGAUACGCGAGGAACCUUACCCGGGCUUGAAUUGCAACUGAAUGAUGUGGAGACAUGUCAGCCGCAAGGCAGUUGUGAAGGUGCUGCAUGGUUGUCGUCAGCUCGUGCCGUGAGGUGUCGGCUUAAGUGCCAUAACGAGCGCAACCCUUAUCGAUAGUUACCAUCAGGUUAUGCUGGGGACUCUGUCGAGACUGCCGUCGUAAGAUGUGAGGAAGGUGGGGAUGACGUCAAAUCAGCACGGCCCUUACGUCCGGGGCUACACACGUGUUACAAUGGGGGGUACAGAGGGCUGCUACCACGCAAGUGGAUGCCAAUCCCAAAAACCUCUCUCAGUUCGGAUUGAAGUCUGCAACCCGACUUCAUGAAGCUGGAUUCGCUAGUAAUCGCGCAUCAGCCACGGCGCGGUGAAUACGUUCCC
rnacentral:rRNA from 1 species